rnacentral:tRNA from 1 species
AGGGCUGUAGCGCAGAGGUCGACGCAUCGGACUUCGGAUCCGAAGAACGCCGGUUCGAUUCCGGUCAGCCCUG